UUUAAAGUUGGAUGACCCUCUUUCAUUUGUUUUGUUUGUUAUAGCUGAGGAUGCUUUGAGCAGGAAAUAAUAUCAGUUCAAGGAAAAUGGAAGUAUUUGGGCAAUGAUCAAUUGAAGCGGUAUUCAACCAUCUUUGAGCAGGAAACUGUAAUUGGACAGACGAGUAUCUUUCAUCCGUUUUUUUUCCUUCUCUUUUUUGCAAUUUCAUGGCGAAAUCUUUCUUCACUGAGUAAACCGAAGGAUCGCUUGGGGGAGUAGAUCGAUCAUGAGCAUGGGGAUGUGACUGAGAAACCUGAUUAAGGUAGCCUGAUAGAUGCGAGUCAAACCCAUCCUGCAUAUGUUCCUCAGCUGACAGGAUUGAUGAUGAAUUCCAAGUCGAGUCAUAAUAGACAUGGUUCGAAUAAUUAUCGUUCAAGUAACCAUCUGCGCCUAAAACUGCUGGUGGCUCAGGCAUGGGUAAUACAUGUGACGAACACCAAUCGUAGUGCAAUCUUAGUGACGAUGAACAAAAAACCCUCUUCUUCUUUUUCUUUUUUUUGGUUCCAUCUUUCAUUGUAGACUCUAUGUAGUAAUUUUCUUUGUUUUUGUUGUUCAUAAGUUCCAUCAAAAUGGACUUGGCUUUGGUUAGUGCUCAAACUAUAUGAUAAACAUGUCUAAAGAAGUGAGAAUGAACUAGGGUUUUGAUUUUCA